AGCCGGGUCCCGCGCAACGGCGGACCGCCAACCCCGUCAGGCCCGGAAGGGAGCAGCGGUAACGGUCUUAGUCGUGUGCCGCGGGGGUGCCUGGCUGUC
rnacentral:SRP_RNA from 2 species